rnacentral:miRNA from 1 species
CAGGAUGCCCUGUUAAAUUUAAAUUUCAGAUAAACAACAAAAGAAUUUUUAGUAUAUCUCAUACAAUAUUUGGGACACACUUAUACUAAAAAUUAUUUACUGUUCAUCUGAAAUUCAAAUUCAACUGGGUAUCCUGCA